rnacentral:lncRNA from 1 species
UCUGGACUCUUCCGGCUCCUGGCUGCAUGUGGUAGAGAAAUGGUUGUUGCAAACACAUUCGGUUCCUUUGCACAGCUGGUGCUCAUAGUCCUUGGAGGCUUUGUCAUAUCAAGAAGUAAGAUGUCUUUAAGAUAAUGUGCUUCUGUACAAGGCCAAGAUUCUUGCAACAAAUUAAAAGCCAUUAUCUCAACUUUAAUUUUAUUAGUAAGACUAAUGACAAAUGCAUGACUAAAUCUUCUUUGCUUUCUUCAGAGGAUAUCAGGAAAUGGUGGAUCUGGGGUUACUGGUCUUCACCCUUGAUGUAUGCACAGAAUGCAAUAGCUGUGAACGAAUUUCUUGGGAAAAAAUGGAGAUAUGUAAGAAAUUCCCUACUGAAUAUGCAAAAGUUUGAUUCAUUGGAAUUGAUCUAAGUUAGCAUUGACUCCUCAAAACAGGUUGUUAAUGCGACUGCUAGCACAGAAACUUUGGGAGUCCAAGUUUUGGAGUCUCGAGGUCUUUUUCCCCAAGCAAAAUGGUAUUGGAUUGGUGUCGGUGCAUUGCUUGGAUAUAUUGUGGUUUUCAAUUUCUUCUUCACUGUUGCGCUUUCUUACCUUGACCGUGAGCUCCCUCCCCUCCAAAAUUAAAUGUUUCUCAGUAAUACUGGUCGCACUUCUCAGCAGGAUAAAUCAAUGAUCUAAUUGACAAAUUACAUUGAUGCAGCAAUUGGAAAAGGCCAAACAGUUAUAUCUGAAGAAGCGUUGAAAGAGAAGCAAGCUAACCGAACAGGUGAAAGUGUCGAGCUGCCAACUAGAGAAAGGAACUCCAGCCAUCCAUCUGAAGGUCAGUUUAAUAAAAAAGUUCGCAAUCUGAUUUACAGGAACACUGAUGCUUACCUACAAAUCCACAUGACUGCAGCAAGAGGCAGUGGAAGUAGGACCACGGGGAUGGAGAUCAGCACUGAGGCUAAUCAGAACAGGAGGAAGGGUAUGGUACUUCCAUUUGUUCCACUCUCACUCACAUUUGAUGAUGUCAAAUACUCCGUGGACAUGCCACAGGUAUGCUCGAGUUCAAACAUAUUAUGCAAUUUUACAAAGUAAAGGCUAGGUUACGUCAUUCACAUUAUUAUAAAUUUAUAAUCAAAGAACUGCGGACUGAUUGUUAAUUUACACUCACAGGAAAUGAAAGCUCAAGGAGUGACAGAAGAUCGAUUGGAACUGCUCAAGGGUGUAAGUGGAGCAUUCAGGCCAGGAGUUCUCACAGCACUGAUGGGUGUCAGUGGAGCAGGUAAGACAACAUUGAUGGACGUGUUGGCUGGGAGAAAAACGGGCGGAUAUAUUGAGGGAAGCAUCAAAAUAUCUGGUUAUCCAAAGAAGCAGGAAACUUUUGCACGGAUAUCAGGAUACUGUGAGCAAAAUGACAUCCACUCACCCCAUGUGACAAUAUAUGAGUCUCUUGUCUACUCUGCAUGGCUAAGGUUACCCCCUGAAGUUGAUUCUAGCAGAAGAAAGGUAGGCACUGCAAUAACUUUACACCCUACAGCUCAAAUGGUAGCAUCAUGUAGUAUGUACAAUAUGCAUCAUUCAUCAUUUCCUGGACAUUUAAACAUAUAUGUUGGGUCUUUCUUUUUCAGGAAAAAUAAAGGGUCGGUGCCAGCAUGUAAUACAACACUUUAGAAAGAAUGUUUUCUACAUAAUUUCCUCAGAUGAUAUGUAGUUUAUAUUGGAGCAUCAUGAUAUUAUUAUGCAAAUGAACAGGCAAAAGUUAGACUAGACCACAUAAUCAUGAGUUGGUAAUCUGCAAUUACCUCCUAGAAUACCAAAACCUGUUCACAAGCUCAUAACAAGUUGAUUAUACAGAUCCAGUAGGUUGAUUACACCAUCAGUUCAACAAGUUUUAUUAUAUAUCACAUUUGAGACUAAGUUUAUAAAGUUGGUUAUUCAGAUCCAGUGGGUUGAUUGCCUCAUCAGUUCAUUGUAUAUUCGAUAUAUGCAUGAAAAGAAGUAUGUACUUCUUUUCAACGUCAGCUUAUCUUCUCCAUAAGCUCAUCGGUAUCACUUUCAGAUUACAACUAUUGACCUAACCUUAUAUUUCGCAAUUCCAUUCUUUCCACUUAUUAUACUUUAUGUUAUUUGUGUCUAAGUCACACAUGUUAACAGUUUCUAUAUGAUCUAUACAAAACACUCAUCAUAAGCUUCUAUCUUAUUUAUGUCUUAAUAGCACCUGAGGUGUAAAUUCUCAUGUUUUGUGAUGUAGAGAACACAAGGAAUUUCUCUUAGUGGAUUCCAAGCAUUUUAUAUUAUGUAAUCAAGUUGCAGGCAGGCUCCCAACUUGGUAUAACCAGUUGUUCAGUUAUUGUUUGAGGAAUUUGUCACCGACCAGCCACAUGCAGCAUCUUCCUCCCAAUCCUUAUUGCACUUUAUAUCAUAAAGUGCUGAAAGAGCAUGGCAUGAAACACGAGACUAUUAAAUAAACAAUACUUAUCUAAAAAUUCUAAUUAAUCACAUAAUGCAUACAAAACACAUAUAUGCCCUGAAAAAACAAUACAAUUGCAUACAUAAGAUUUAAGGAAGGAAAAGAAAAUUUUCUUUCUUUCCUCUUCUUAUGAACAUUUUGCGUGCCUUGUUUCAUUUAUCUAUCUACACAAACAAUAGAGGCAAGGGCUAGCAUACUGGCAUACUAGUGAUUGUAGAAGCAGGAUUGCAUGGAUCACCUGACAUGGAUUGUCCAAAAACUAUUUGUGAGGAUAUCUUUAAACUCAAUGCUCAUAUUUUGCUGAUGUUCGCAUGCAUGUGACUACUUACAAAAAGCAAAACAUAUAGAGAGGGCGUGUUUUGUAAUUUCUUUUGGGGCUAAUAAUUUGGUCAUAUAGUUUUUUAUGUGUUUCAUGCUGUGUCUGCUAUACUUACACAUGCUACAUAGCAUAUGACAUAAUAUACUGAACUUUGAUAUUAAACAUCAUACUCACUCUUGACUUUGCUUUUCUCUGAUCCAUCAACUCUUGAUGCCUAUGGUCUCUUACACCAGUAACUAACAACAUUGUGGUUCUAGUAAAGCCAUAUUCAAUGCAAUUUAUGUAAGAUAUUCAUUUUUAGAUCUAUUACCUAUUUACAGAAAUAAAUCAAAUAAAUAAAUUUAUAAAAAACACAUUUCUAGGAUGACAAAUCUUCAAAAAUAAAAUAAAAUAAGUCCUCUCUAUUGUAAUUGAACCAGUCCAACUCCCUCUCCUUGAUGUUUCUAUGAUUUGUUGUACAUCCAGAAACCAUGUAAUACAUCCAUCAUGCAUUUCUAAUCGAGUAGCGUAUCUCAAAUAUUCCAUAUAUCUUAAAAGAAAUUAUCUCUGGUAUCCUAUAAAUUGUAUGCAAAUGGUAAGAUGCUAUUUGGAUGAUAGUGGUGAUGAAUGAAAAUUUUAGUGAUAGAAAAAAAAGAGUGAAGGUCGGUCCAUACAGCUAGCUCAGAAGAUUGAUUUUUAAUAUAACAAACUACAAUUACAUUUAAUCAAAUUUAACUAUAUAGCAAACUCAAAUCUAAUGUUAGUGAAUAAAGAAGAUUAGCAAAUGUACCUCUAUAGUAUUCCAAUAUUGAUGGCUAAGAAAAAAGGCCCAAGUUAUUAAAAUCUUUUCUAGCAUCUUAAGCAGGAGAAGAAUAAAUUGAUAUGGCACAUAUGCAAUGUAUUGAUUUUUUAAAGAUUAGAAGAGUUCAUAUAUCCUUAACAGUAUUUCCUACAUUGGUCUAUGCUUGUCUAUAUCAACUAAUGCCUAAAUGAAUUGGUUUACUUCUAGUCUGUUUAGCCAAUAAUCGACAGUGGACACAAUAAAUGCAGAUGUUUAUCGAGGAGGUUAUGGAACUAGUCGAGCUCACACCGCUGAGGAAAGCAAUGGUUGGCUUGCCAGGUGUAAAUGGGCUGUCAACCGAGCAGCGCAAAAGAUUGACAAUUGCGGUUGAGCUUGUUGCAAAUCCUUCCAUAAUUUUCAUGGAUGAGCCUACAUCUGGACUAGAUGCACGAGCAGCAGCAAUUGUCAUGAGAACUGUCAGGAACACGGUAGAUACAGGAAGAACAGUUGUGUGCACAAUUCACCAACCUAGUAUUGACAUUUUUGAAGCCUUCGAUGAGGUAAGAGAUAACUGGAAAAGCAAAAUUUGCUGUUCCUCCUUAGAGAUGGAUAUGCUAAUGCACCACAAUUCCAUGACCUUUCUGUGCCAGACCAGCCAGAGGGGUUCUUUUGGCUUAUUGGUACUAUUGUUUUGAUGUCUAAUUUUACCAAAAUUGCAGCUCUUUCUUAUGAAACGAGGCGGUGAAGAGAUCUAUGUAGGCCCACUGGGGCACAACUCAUGCGAACUAAUCAAGUAUUUUGAGGUGAUGAGAAAAAUAGUAUAGAUCUGCAUGAAUUUUUCCUUUCCCUUGAUGAGAUCCCAUGUUAUAGGUGCUGAUAGCAAUUGUUUAUUUUUAAGGGAAUAAGUGGAGUCGCUAAGAUAAAAGAUGGUUAUAACCCAGCAACAUGGAUGUUGGAAGUCACUUCAAUGGCACAAGAAGAAAUUCUAGGAGUUAAUUUUGUUGAAGUAUACAAGAACUCAGAUUUAUUCAGGUAUGUUGACUACUAGCACUUUCACUGCAUCUCUGACCUCUUGUAUUAAGAAAAUUUUUGUGGUGAUUCUUGCAGGAGAAACAAAGCUCUGAUUCAAGAACUCAGUACACCUCCUCCUGGUUCAAAAGAUCUCUACUUCCCCGCACAAUAUGCACAACCAUCCCUCAUCCAGUGCAUCGCUUGCUUCUGGAAACAGUACAAGUCAUAUUGGCGCAAUCCAUCAUACAAUGCCAUACGGUUAUUCUUUACAACAGUUAUAGCCCUAAUGUUUGGGACAAUAUUCUGGAGACUUGGCUCUAAAACGUAUUAAUUCUGGAUCUUUACUUCAAUUUGAUGUAACUCUUGUCUUCAUGUCAAAUUUAUGAUUUUUUUAAUUUGGUAAUGACAAAAGCACCUCUACGUGGUCGUAAAAUUUGCAGAACCACACAGCAGGAUCUGUUCAAUGCCACGGGAUCAAUGUAUUGUGCAGUCAUGUUUAUUGGAAUACAGAAUUCUCAAACUGUCCAGCCUAUUGUGGAUGUUGAACGGACAGUAUUCUAUAGAGAGAAGGCUGCAGGAAUGUAUUCUGCUUUACCAUAUGCAUUUGCACAGGUAAAUGUAUAAGAUUUCAUGCUUCAGGACUGUCAUGUUUCAAACAAUCAAAUGAUUUUUCAGGUUAUUCUGUACUGGAUCCUCAUUAACAAUUGGGGACCAAUAUUACCAUAUUUAUGCAUUUCUUUCUUUUCUUUCAUGAAUCACUCCUCACCUUAUUCUAUUGCAUUCAGGUUGCAAUUGAAAUACCAUAUACCUUCCUUCAGACAGUGGUAUAUGGGUUACUUGUGUACAGCAUGAUAAAUUUUGAUUGGACAGCUGCCAAGUUCAUGUGGUACAUAUUCUUCAUGUUCUUCACAUUUCUUUACUUCACAUACUAUGGGAUGAUGGCAGUGGCACUGACACCCAAUUCAAACAUUGCUGCAAUAGUAUCCACUGCAUUUUAUGCAAUAUGGAAUCUCUUUGCAGGCUUCGUGAUUCCUCGUCCGGUAAGUUUAAUUUAUCAUAUAUUUUUUAUUCAAGGAUUCAAGCACUAAAUUUCAUUUAUUGACUACAGAGGAUACCUGUAUGGUGGAGAUGGUACUACUGGGCAUGCCCAAUUUCUUGGACUCUUUAUGGCCUGCUUGCCUCACAGUUCGGAGACAUGGGUGAUACCACCAUGGACACAGGUGAAACCGUGAAGCACUUCGUAAGGAGGUACUUUGGAUACGAACAUGACUUCUUGGGAGCAGU